AAUAACCUUAUACCUGUGAGCAUCUCUAUUCAGUCCAAUGUGAGUGAGGUGAUCUGAGUGCAGGUGCAUUAGCUCAAGCAAUCAUUCAUUAACUGGAGUGAUAGCACCUGUGUCCUUUCAGCUGCACUUCAACUAGUUCUGUUGGAGGAGGAGGAAUCUAACCAGCUAAGUAAACUGCAGGCUGACUCCCUGCAAGACUGUGCUUAAGUUACCCGGGUUGGAUUUUAAAACUUGGCAGGUCAAGGAACACACUGGCUUAACCCUAACUGCCGCUCAGGAGUGGAUUGAGCUGCGCAAAGUGUUUGCAGCUUUAUUUUUAAUGCUUGUCUUCAAGAUUAGAAAAUAGAAGCAAUUUGACUAAAAAGUCAGUGAGAAGAGCAGUCCAGCCAUCCGCGAUGCCAGAGAGGAAUAAGAAGACCCCAUAUGAAGACAUAAGCAGCCCCAUCUCCUGCCCUUGGCCUCAAAGCUGAGGAGACGUCAAAACACCCAGUGUGCCUCAGCAAACCUGCUUCAGCUUGAGCCCCUUGUUGAUCCAAGAGACCAUGGGCUGCAGAAGGAGGUUGGCUGGACAGGACACAAGUGCAUUCUGGAAGCCUGUCCCCCAGAGCUGUGCGCCUUAGUUCAAGGAGCCCUUCCCCAAAACCUAAGCGUCAGGAGCAGGCCGGCUGGCAAGACGACCGCCAAUGCUCGGAAAGCCCUUCCCCCAGUGCAGACUGCAGCAGGCUGGCUGCCCAAAGACAAGUUCCCUGUGCUAGCAAAGGGAGACAGAAGAGAAAUAAGGAGGCUGGAGGAUGGGAACAUGUCCCAACACCCAGGUGAGAUUAGCCCCAGGAUGAAGUUUAUACCCGAGGAGUGCUGCUGGGAAGAGGGACACCAGUUGGAGAACUGAUCAGCGCUCUCUCAUUGACUUCAGUGGAAAGUGUUUGUCCAUUGAUCGUUGACAUAGUCUUCAGCCUUGGGGUCCUUCUGACCCCAAUGGCACCAGACAUGGGCCUAGUCCCUGUGGUUGAUGCAGUGCAGAAGAAUGUUGUUGCUCUCCUGGUAUCCCCAGGGCUUUGCCAUAUAGCCGGUGGCUUUAGGUGGCUCUGGUGACUUUUUUGUGCUCUGCACCACGUCAGCUGGUGGGACCUCUUUCUGAGCGAGGCAAGGUUGGCCAUGAUUUCAGUUAUUCUACUGUUUCCUCAAUGUCCCAUGUAAUGAGUCUUUCAUAGCUCCAUGGAUAGCCAGCUCAGGUGCCUAGAUAGACCAUGGGUUUCAAAGGAAAGGGCUGUUAAAUAUCCUGGUAAACUUAGCUGCAAAAAGAAGAUGAAAGGCAGAAUGUUGCCUGUCCAUUCCCAUGAUGAAGAGGCUGCCCUCUUUAAUCUCAGCCCCUCGAAGUUGUCCUUCAAGGCCCAGAUUUGUAGCAGUGUGACUCCUUCAUUAGCGCAACCCUCCACGAGCCAGGCCAAUACCUUUUGGAUCUUCUGCUAUUAGAGCCAGAAAAGAUCAUUUCCUCCUCUCUGAUACAAUGGUUAUUCAUUAAAAUGUGUCGUCUUUGCUAACUAAUUUAGUUCCAUGGUGUCCUGGCUUUUACAGGCUAGAUUUACUAAUUACCUUCCUCAUUCAAGUGAGGGUGAAAACCUGCCCUUCCUGUCAGGAGUAAGCCAUUGGAAAAGGAGCGUUUGCUCUUGUUACCCUGCCAAGGUAGGAAAGGGGAAUUCUGGGUGAGUAACCAUAAGGCACAGUAGAGAAUAGACAGCAUGUACCCCUGGCUAAUGUGGCUAGUGGCUUAGGGCCUGCACCCCAACCCGCAGCCAGGAGACCAUGACCCAUUUGGGGUUGGGGUGAGCUGGCCAGUCUGGUAGCCAGGCCCCCUUUUUAUGGUAGCUUGGAACUAUGCCUACGGCUCCACACAGAGGAGGAGGCACCAUAAAUUUACUUCCUGCACUAAUGCCCCUACCUAUGGGUAACUGACCCUGUGUUGUAUGUAGUGAGUUACCUAUCAGCAGCCAUUUUGUGAGGCAGAGCUGGUGCAGCUGUCAAAAGAGAAAUACCCACUGUGCUGUCUCACAGAGGCUUUACUUUUGUUCUGUCUUGAUUCCCUCAAUCUAAAAAAAUAAGUUGUGCAGGCUGGAAGAAUCUGUUUGCUCUUCCUUAGCAGAAAAGCACGUUGGUGAUGCCUCCAGUCACAAGCUGCCUAGCUUCCAAGCGUAAAGACACACUCUAAACUUCUGCUUUAGUUAAGGCAAAUAGAGCCCUUGCACAUUUUUCAAUGAACACUCAUUGUGUGGCUAGAGAUUGCAGGCAACACUUAUUUAGUUUCCUCCCAGGUAAAUUAAUAUUUGAGGGGGAGAUUUUGAAGGGCAUAAAGAAGACUUAGGCACGCAACUCCCAUUGACUUUGUCCCUUAAAAACCUCCCCCAAAUCCUUAAUG